GAUGAACGCUGGCGGCGUGCCUAAUACAUGCAAGUCGAGCGAACGGACGAGAAGCUUGCUUCUCUGAUGUUAGCGGCGGACGGGUGAGUAACACGUGGAUAACCUACCUAUAAGACUGGGAUAACUUCGGGAAACCGGAGCUAAUACCGGAUGAUAUUUUGAACCGCAUGGUUCAAAAGUGAAAGACGGUCUUGCUGUCACUUAUAGAUGGAUCCGCGCUGUAUUAGCUAGUUGGUAAGGUAACGGCUUACCAAGGCAACGAUGCAUAGCCGACCUGAGAGGGUGAUCGGCCACACUGGAACUGAGACACGGUCCAGACUCCUGCGGGAGGCAGCAGUAGGGAAUCUUCCGCAAUGGGCGAAAGCCUGACGGAGCAACGCCGCGUGAGUGAUGAAGGUCUUCGGAUCGUAAAACUCUGUUAUUAGGGAAGAACAUAUGUGUAAGUAACUGUGCACAUCUUGACGGUACCUAAUCAGAAAGCCACGGCUAACUACGUG
rnacentral:rRNA from 1 species